ACACAUUCACACAAUAGGAAGGCAGCAAAUUAAAUUCCCUGUUAUUUGUGUCAAUCUUUGAAGCAAAUCAUGAGACAUGUUUGUGAAGGAUCACAUUUAAGACCUUAAAACACACUCGUAACUUAAUAAAGACAUCUAACCCAAUAAUGUUAACCAUAAUUUCAACACAAUCAAUGUGUUUACAGUAGUUAACUCCAUACCAAAGCUUGCGAUCAGUCCUUUUAAUUGUUUAUUGUCAAGUUGCUAAUCUUGCCUGCUGAGCGGUACCUGUACUGUAUGCAGCGGUGAUUACACUGAUAACAGCGAUCUCGAGCAUGCGCAUAUUGCACUAGCCAUCGGUGUUCACAGACAGGUGGGCGCCAUAUUGAUUGGUAUCGGUUUGAUCGGUCGGUUUUCAGGGUAUAUUGUUACCACGAGUCCCACACUUAUUCUGUUAACAUUUGCAAGGAAGACUUACACCAAAAGAACAAAAGUAAAUUUGGACAUUCAUGGCUGAAUUCACACGUUCCGACGAAUGCCAGACAACUCGGCCCGGAGGACAACUCGGCCCAGACAACUCGGCCCACGUCGAGACAACUCGGCCCAGAGUUCUGAGACAACCCGGCCCACCGCGAGACAACUCGGCCCGGAGUCCAGAGACAACUUGUUGGACAAGUGUUGUUUUUUAAAUUAAAGUAUUCUUACUGAAAUAAAAGAAUGUGUUUUUGUUAGUAUUGAAUUAGUCCCACCUUAACCUAAACAUCCCAAAACGAUUUUGAGACAGGUAUUUAUAUAUUAGGGGAUUAAACAUUUAAAAUACAUUUCUUGAAUUUGUAGCAGACUUUGAGACACGUGACUAUGCGAAUAUGUGGAUCUUUAAACUUAUGUUUAUAUUUGUUAUGCCGGUUUGUCUCGGAGAGGAAGAUGCGACGGCGACAGAGGAAGGCCUUUCUAUGUUCUUUUGGUGAUUGGUGUUUUAUUUCAUUAUUAUAACUAUUUAUGUAUAUGUGUUCUGUUGGUUUUUUACGUAUAUAUGUGUGUUUAAUGUAAUAAAUGUGAGAAUUUGGCAAA
rnacentral:misc_RNA from 1 species